AUAAAGUAGUAGUAAAUAGUAGAACUAAAUUUCAAUUUCGAGUUAUCCCAACGCCGACCAGUCACCUUCUUCUCCGUCUGCCGAGAUCCAAGCAUGUGGAACGACAGAUCGCCGCUCAUCCCCCGACAUCUGUUGGUUAAGAAUUGAGCCCGUGACCGCCACUAUGAGACAUAGAAUCCACUCUCCUCAUGUGACUAAAGGUCAUAUGCAAAAAUUAAGAGUAUGUUUGGUGAAAAAGUGCCUCCAUAGAGAUUCCAGUUCCCUCUGUAGAUGAAGGCUCACUAUGACUAAGCAAAAAACCAAUGUAGAGUCUGGUGAAGAGGGUAUAUAGAUACCGGUUUCUGUUCUGCAUGAAGGUUCACCAGAAGACCAGUAAAGAAUGAGUGUUCUUGUAGUUGUCUGUCUGACAUCUUGACUUGAUUUUCAGAUAGUGUUCUUUGUUUGUUUUGAAGAUGUAUUAAGGAACCUUUUAUCAUGUACUAGAACUAUUAUUGGAUGGUGUGUAUGAGACUUCAAAGCAGAUAUGUUAGUGCUUUGAAUUUAAGUUUAAUUUGUGUAGUAUGACAUUUGUAGAAUCAAGUUGAAUAUGUGAUUGUUGUAUCAUCUUAAAAUU